CUCUGGCUGGGCUGGCAGUGGGCACCAGAGUCAUCCUGUCCCAGCCCCAGCUCAGGCAGGCUGUGGUCAUCCUGAUUGGGGUGCCCAGGAGACCCUAUAUGCGGUCCCAGGGGAGCAUCGCGUCACACCCUAGGAACACAAUGGCUUCAUGUGCCUGGCGCUGAGGCUUGGGGCCUCCCAGGUGCACUGAACUCCUUCGGGAAGAAUGACAUCUCCACAUUGAAGCCGUUGGCCGCAGGCUCCUGGCAGCACCUGUGCCAGGUCACCUUCAGGAGACUCAUGGGCCUCUCUCUGUGCCUCUUCUCGGCCCCUCCUGAGAUCUGCUGCCCUUUGUGUGCCUGUCACCACUCAUGUGCGUUCUCUC